rnacentral:rRNA from 1 species
UACGUAGGGUGCAAGCGUUGUCCGGAAUUAUUGGGCGUAAAGAGCCCGUAGGCGGUCUGUCGCGUCUGCUGUGAAAACUCGGGGCUUAACCCCGGGCCUGCAGUGGGUACGGGCAGACUAGAGUGCGGUAGGGGAGACUGGAAUUCCUGGUGUAGCGGUGAAAUGCGCAGAUAUCAGGAGGAACACCGGUGGCGAAGGCGGGUCUCUGGGCCGAUACUGACGCUGAGGAGCGAAAGCGUGGGGAGCGAACAGG